rnacentral:lncRNA from 1 species
GGAAAAUGUGGCCUCCUGGGACUGUCAGUGGUGUGGUCCCCACAUCCUUAGUUGUACACAUAACAUGCUUACCGUGUGCUUGCUUUGAGUCCCUUCUGAGCUCCCAUGCAAUGUAGACUCAUCGGAAUCCCGUGCUCAUGGGAUUUUAUGAACACUAUAUGCAAAUAGGACAGCAAGAAAUGGCAGUAAACGCUUUUAUUGUUGCUAUCUCCUCUGCUCCUGCACAUGCUCCAUGGUAUCGUUGGACUUCACUUACAAAACACAGAUACAAAGACAAAAUUACUAAGAAUUACCAAGAAUUUUAAUUUCAAGAUGGCAACAGAGUAUUAAACCAAAGAUGAAGUCGUUCUGAGUGUGGGGUUUGCGAGAUGGCACAGGUGGCACUCCCAGGAGCUCGUCUUGGCCAGGUCGCACCCUUGAGUCCAUUGGAACCUGAAUCUCACCCUGCUCUGCUAUGCUAUACUGACUCCAGCUGAAUUCAAGGAGUUACAGUUUGAAACUCUCCAGACUCCAGUGGCCAUCCCACUUGUGAUCACUUGCUCUGAGGGAGGACAUCUGCUGUAUCAUGAGGACGCAAAACCAUCCCAUGGAGGGUGCUACAUGCAGAGCAGCUGAGGCCUCCUGCUAGUUGUCAGUGAGGAACCGAGGCUUCUUGCCAAUGGCCAUUCAGGAAAAUCUUGCUUCUCAAACUCCUGUCUUGACCCCUUCCUGAACUUUGCCUCCUGGAUCUUGAGGUCUGCCUUCUGUGGAAGAGAAAUACUAGAAUCAAUGAACUGUGAACUAGAGCCCUGGGAUUAUCAACAGCCAGCUGAAAUUUUGAGAGCCACCUUAUAGAAAGCCUAACAGCAAAGACUGGAGAGAGGCUUCCAGCCAACAGCCAGCAAGGAAUUGAAGCCCUCAGUCCAAUAGCAGUGAGGAAUUGAAUCCUGCCAACAGCCUCGUGGAUGGGUUGCUUGCUGCCUGAAUCUAACUCCUGCUACUACUGCAAAUACCACUGCCAUGAAUAUCCUCAGCAAGACCCCCUUCCAGACCUGCAUGAACAGUUGUGUGAAAUACCGACUGCUUCAUGCUGGGCUUCAGACAUGAGAGGCUAGGAGUAGGAGGCAUGCCUUGUUCAAAGGUCUUAAAUGUGGGAAAUAGUCUACAGUUUGGAAGACACCAGAGAAAAAUGCUCCACAGCUCGCCCUGGUGACUCACUACAACUUAUGGGAAGAUGUGAGAUUAUUCUGUAUUCUAAUGUAUGUUAGAAGGCACACUCCACCCAAAGCCUUCCUGUGUGUUCCUCCCUGUGAGCUCACAUCCCGUUCACCAGCUGACUGGGAAGGGAAGUCAGGACCAGCCCUGACCCCAUCACACCAUCAUAACCUCGGGAUGGCAGGGCUGGAAGGCACCUCAGACGUCAUCCUUUGCAGACUCUUCAUUUUACAGUGAGAGGCAUGACGUGUCCACAGCUGGUUAGUGCCAAAGCCUGGGACAGGCUUCACAUUGUCCAGCUCUUAGUCAGAGCACUGUUGACAAUGUCUGCCUUCACUUGGAAUUCAGCACCUGCUUUCAGUAUAAACCCCUGCAUUUCACUAAAACUGAGCAGACUGCUGGUUUAAAAAAGAGAGGUCCAUCCAGCAGGGAUGAUGCUUUUCCUCGUUGAAAGAGGACAUUCACCUAAUGGGAGACCUGGAGUCAGAAUCUUUCUGAUGUGUGACUUGGCACAGUAACACAAUGCAGGAUGCUGGUGUGUUAAUAAAAAUAAAAAUUGCAUCGCCUACCUCAGAGUCGACAACAAUGUCAAGGAGUUAAUAGUCUUGGCAACACAGAGGCCACUGGACAGAGGCAUAACCUUGCGUGGCAGCUGCACGGGAAUUGGAUUUGGCUCAGGUGUUUCAGAUGACUAAGAACAAAGGGGACCACUCUUGGUAUAGAAGUUCAUCUCGUCGGGAGCAUCUGUGGUUCUUUUAUAAGCAAUGUACAUUCUACAAUAGAGGCAGACCCAGAAAUAAUUCAGAUAUUGGAGUUAGAAGAUCAGGAUUCUAAAAAAACCAAAAGAUCCUGCCUUACUAUGCACCUAUGGCCCUUCAAAGGCGAGAGUAGAAUCUGCUAUGAUUUAGAAGCAAGCAAUAAAAAGUACACAUCAGAAUUGGAGCCUGCACAGAUGUAGAAGGAGGCAUGAAGAGGGUAUUGGAGGAUUGCCCACUAUGCAGUCUGCAUCCUGAGUCUGUGGUGAGGCUGGACACGUUCAAGCUUACAGGAGAACUGGAGAAAGCAAGCAACACAGCGGUGGAAGUGAGACCACUGAAGCAGGGACAAGAGUGGAGGAGACAAACUGGACUCGGAACAAACUGGGAGCCUCUGCAUCCAUCCGUAACUGUCUGGCCGUGACAGUGGUUAGAGAGGAGUGGCUUCUGUGAAACUCUCACAAUCUCAAAUCUCCCACAAGUGCCUCUUUCAGCUAACUCUAAACUGGUACCAUAGAGGAAAUGGAUUCUGAAAACUUGGUCUCCAACCUUAGACAAAUUGAAUAAUUAAUAUGUCCUCUCCUGCUUCUUCUGUAACUGAAUUUGCAUUGGGAAGCAGGCCUGUCACUCUCAGACUUUGUGGUUUGAGUAGGGCUCACUUCAGCACCACCUUUUCCUCUUCUCAGCCCCACGGACUGGCAUGAGACUCAGGCCUGGCCAACUGAAUGUCACACACCUAUGACCAUCAGUUGGCUCAGAGAUGGACUCAGGACACCAUCACAGCCAAUGAAACCCUGUUAGGGAAAUUUGUCAGAACCAUACAAAGAAAUAGCUCCACUUUUCCAUAGAGAUGAGACAUAAGCCUGGACUAACUGGUGUCCAAUUUGCCAUCAAGAGAGCAUCUGAGAAGACAGAGGAAAACUGGGGAAAGCGAAGUCUAAGGAAGGUGAGUAAGGACAAGUCCAGUUGAUAUUACAUGAAUCACCUGGACCUGGAAAUCAAGGCAUUGCUGGAUUCAAGGCCAAGAAAAAUUGGAAGCUGGCUUGAAUCAGGUUCUAUCACUUGCAGUUGAAAAGGUCCAGACUAAUAUGAUAACAAAGGAGCAAGUAAGCAAGAUUCUGCCCUACAGUAAGUGCUCAAUGCAUGUCAGCUGGUAUUAUUAUUAUACAGACUUCUAUUUCUAGCCCUUUUAUUUCUACCACCUCUCUUCUGUGUUUUAUGUAAAGUGCAUAAGGAUUGUUCUGUUUGGAAACAUCAAACCAUAUAAAAUGACACCAGCAGGUCCCUUUCUGUCUGUCAGUGUCCACAAGCUCAACAACCAGGAUCAGCAGACAAAAACAGCUAAGCUGGAGUCAGUGUUUUUAUGAAGAAACAGGAAAAGAACUUACUUGGGAACUGUAGCUCAUCCUCCAAUAUUCUCCAUCCUAUCACUCUUUUCAUGACAGUUUCUUCUUGGCCCUGAAGUUGCCUUGUCAUGGCUCCCUGCCUCUGUCCUUUCUCUGUCUCACUUACAUCUUCCAAUGAGGAAUACAGCAAGACCUUUGGAUGAGGACCUCCAAAGGUCCUCAGUAUCCUUAGGACACUCGGUGCAGAACUAGAGGGACUGAGAGGAGGAGCUUUUGCAGGUUAAAUGACUAGUGAAUGGCCUUUCCUUAUAUUUCCAUUAGAAAUGGGAUUAGCUACACCUGAGAAGGAAUGACUUUGGAACAACUGAUCCCUAGCUUUCCAAAAUAUGAGAAAUUGAGAUGCAGGGAGUAGUAAGCACCUAGUUAAUGAGUCAAAGCAUAUUUAUAAAGUUCACAGGGUACAUAGCAUAUAGCAGCUGUUCUCUAUCUCAGUUGAGUUUUGACUAGGAAAUGGGCUUAGGAUAAAACACAUAGGCUUUUGAGUAAUCAUUUGUAAGAAAUUGUAGAUAGUGACCACAGUUUAAUAGCAUUAGAUAAAUUAUGAAAAGUCACUGAAAUACCUUCUCUGGAAAAUGUUAGAAGCUCAAGUACAAUGGCUUAGUUAAAGGCAGGUGGGGGAGAAACUUGAAGAAUGUGGUCCAGUACAAGAAUACCCCAUUUUUCCCCUAAGGCAAUGAAAAUGACAUGAAGUAAUCAUAGUUAUUUAUACAGGAACAAUUUAGGAGACUUAGAAUAUUCACUUCUUUUGCCUUCUAGCUGAGCAUCAAAAUUCUCUCUCUGUCUCUGCCUCUCUCUCUCUAUUUUCCACUUCUAGCUCCAACUAUUUUAAAUCCCUCCCCCAAUAGAACUCAUAACAAACAUAAAACAACAUUUGUUGUAUGUUUACAAUAGAUGUUCAAGCUAAUAUUUAUGUAGGCUUAGCCCUGGCAUUAAAUUAAGGUUUGGUUCACCAACAGGGUGCCUAGAGACUUCACCUCUAUUUCCAUGAGGGACUGAACAGCCUCUUGAGAAGGGACUCAUCAAAAUGGAAGAGUUGGCAAUAAGAAGUUUGGCUAAAUAACCAAGCACUGAAGUUGCAGAGGAGAAAGGAUUUGAAAGGCAGUACAGUGUCCAGGGGCAAGUUGGCAAUUUUUAGCAGGAGGUGAAGUGAUGCCAGCAGAGGUAACAGUGCUCAGAGGGACCAGUAGUCCCCAGGAGGAGCAGGGGAAUCCCCAGUGGAUCUGAUUUGUUCAAGAGCACAUGUGAGAUUAUCAGCUGGCGUUACAAUUUUGGAGUGGCAGUGAGAAGCAGUGAAUUUGAGGUCACUCAAUUUGCAGACCCCAAAGGGUGAAAUGUUGAGAAACAUGAGUUACACAUGUAUUUAACAGCUCUUGUGUAUUAUCACAAAUCCUAUUUCACCUCUCAUGCCCCCGAGGCUUUGGUGUCCAGUUCUCUGAAGACUUCAUCAAUCCUCAGCCAUAAAUCACCUGAGAGCAACUCACCUUGCUUCAUACUAUGAAGCUCCCUGAUGUCACAGCAUGGCAGGCCUGUGGCAACCCCUCAACACUUAUGCAUGAUCCCAAACAGCUAGAGGAUUAACACCUACGGUGUAACCCUUGACCAGCAGGAAAUGGAAAUUACUGUCUUUUUGUCCCCGCAGGUGAAUGGUUCUAAAAUGCAUUUUAUAAGCCUUCUGAAAUAGUCCCACAGGUCAAGCACCUACUUGCUCCAGUGGUGACCAACUCAAUGAUGCAUCCUUGGGUUGACUCUCCCUCCUUUCCAGUUCACUUUCCCCGCCCCUCACUCCUGCACCUCAGCAUCACAUUCCUGAAUAAACCACUCACACAUCUGUCUUAUUUCAGACUCUGUUUGGGGGAAUCCACAAUAAAAAUUUGUCAUUUUGAGUUAAACAUUGCUCUCACCUUGAAGACAUAUUUCCAUACCUAGAGAUUUCUGAAGUUCUCUCCCUUUUCCUAUCAUCUCCUUUGUGCUUUGUCUGACCUCCAUGUUACAGAGCCCCAUGAUAUUUAGAGCCAGUACUGCUAGGGAAGUAGUUCAGUUGUGUUUUAAAUGGUUCAGCAACUUGUAACAUCAACUGAGAACCAGAGGAAUACACUUGGAGGCCAAGAAAAAAAUGUUAGCUAAUAUGUACCAUACAGUAUGAUUCCUUGGGUAAGGGAAAGUAUAUGCAAGUGACAGAGGAAAAUUGAAAGUUGUAGCCCUUUUUUGGACUUUAGAUUUGGAAUUAAAGUUUCUCUUCUCUUGAAAGACCUUCUUUUUGUGGAUAAUGAUGAAUCUGAAGACCAGAACAGUGGGCCAAUUUGCCUUAGUUGAGAGUGGCAAAUAAAUGAAGAACUGAAGAACGUAUCUCUUUAACUAGUGCUCCUUUGUUGAGAAGAUACAAAACAAACAAUUGAAGGGUAUGGAUGAAGCCAUUGGCUUAUUCAUGUCUCUGUUGAUCAUAAUGAGAUUAAUAUAUAUAGGACAUUCACACAAAGAGGAUAUUGACUCGAUGGCUUACAGAUUAUUAGAGUUAGAAAUGUGACCUACUACUAAAGGAAGAAUGUUUCAGGUGUGGAUCUCUGAUUUAAAAAAUACACCACACUUGCCUCAGUGAAGCAAGUCAACUUAGGUGCUGAUACAAUGCCACUGCAGCUGUGCUGAGUUCAUGAAAUCAGAUCCCACUCUCUUCACCUACCCCUACCGUAUUCAUCCUACUUUCCGUCUGCUCUGCCCUUCCCAUUUGGUAACCUAGUCAUGAAACACCUGGCUCUGGGUCCUUCCUUCAGCAUCACUCCACGUUGUACUGCUGGCAUCGCUUUUCUUGGCACAGAACCUCUUAGGGCUGCUAUCCUAGGAGUAGGUGCUACUCAGGCUGGCUUAGUCCCAGGCUUCACUCACUUCUUGGCCCAUGGCCAGGAGGACCGGAAAGAACAAACUCUCUGCACAUCUCUGCAGGUGGCCACAGAGCCCCCAUCUGAGCCUUGCUGAUGGAGAAGAGCAUGCUGCAUCACAAGAUAACUGUGUGGCUCUGUUCAAAAACCUUGUUUAGAAGUUAUUAUUUCUUUUAUUGCAUUAGAAUUUGCCUCACUGUAGCUUUUGUGCUUCUGUCCUGGUUCAGCCUUAGAUAGCAGUGCAGCCUGGUCCAUGUGAAAGCUCUUGCAAUAGGCCUUUCUGCUAGUCAGGAGUUCUCAGACCCAUCCCUACUCUUCACUUUUCUCAAGACUAAUAUCAGACUCCUGGGCUCUUCAAGGUUUCCUCAUAUGAUAAAAGUUCUAAGCCCUCCAUUGUCCUAGUCACUGUCCUCUCUGUUCCAUCCCUGUCUGCCCUUCCAAGAUGCUGCACCUGGAGAUGAAUUUGUCCUUCCUGGGGCAAGUCACCAUGAGAUGAUUACUUUUGGAUCAUACUGAAUUUGUGGGUUAAAUAAACUCAUAGGUCUUUAUCUCAUGCACUAAAUCCAAAUUCGAUCUCUUGCCGUAAAUCAUUUUUUUGAAUAGCUGAACAAUAAGUAAAUAAUACACAAAUGAAAACUAAUCAAUAUUUGAACAUCCUCAGUAUUUUCAGCCCUAGUUUGAGCCAGACAUAGCUCAUCUUGUAUACUUCACUAAGGACACUUUAUACGAUCAAGCAAUUAAUAUUAUGAUGUCAUGUCUCGCAAGCCCCAUAGUGUCACUUCCAGUCUCUUCACCACAAAGAACGUUGAAGCCUUCGUAUUUUUUUGAAAAUCAUAUUUCUAGCUGCAGGAUGGGAUGUAAGAAAAGUUCAGAUUAGGAUUAUUCUAGGCUCCUGACUAUAACUAAAAUCCUGAUUUUUUAUGGAAAGGAAUGAGGAUCAUUCCUUCAAAUUAGAUUUUUGUGAUAAAAAGAAAAAAGUUGGUAAUCUAUUCAAAAUUGUAACAAAAAUAACUGCAUUUUUCUUUGGAAAAUAAUAGUUGAUUCCUUUUUGCUUUUUUUACUUAUGAAUUGGGGUGCAAUAGAGUUUAAUAAAAAUGAUGUGAAACACUCUUAUAAGGCUAAUUUAUCACAUUUGCUUCAAGGAAUUGUCCUUUCUAACAAAAUUGUGAAAUGGAACUGAACAGUAGCAUGAUGAGGCCUCUACCAGGAGGAGGUACAGAACAAGGCAGGAGGUCAGUGGUUAAAGGACUCCUUGCUUAUGCUCAAGAAAUGUGGACCUUAUUAGAGGUGACACAGUGAAAUCAGUCACCUGAUUUCGCAGGUGACUGUGGAGCAAGAAUGCAAAUCCACAAUAUUAGGAUGAAUGUGAGAGGAGAAGGGAAGGAGGCCAUGAGGGAAAAAAGGACAUCUAAUUGGGUCUGAAAGGAAGGGUAGAAUUUAAGUAAAGAGCACUGUGUACAUAUGGGAAUACCAUGUACUUUCUCAUGGAGAGAGGCCUUCUGACAGUCCUGCAUUGAUCCUGCUUCUUUGACCAUCCCUUGUUAGCCAGCAGGUCAUUUGGCCUCACUAGUUGCCUCAGUGCUGAGUGAUAGACUCAGCAGUCCCCAGCCUCUUUGGCACCAGGGACUGGUUUUGUGGAAGAUAAUUUUUCCAUGGAUCAGGGAGAGGAUGGUUUCAGGAGGAUUUAAGUGCAUUACAUUUACUGCGCACUUUAUUUCUAAUAUUAUUACAUUGUAAUCUAUAAUGAAAUAAUUAUACAAUUCACCAUAAUGUAGAAUCAGUGGGUGCCCUGAGCUUGUUUUCCUGCAACUAGAUGGUCCCAUCUGGGGGUGAUGGGAGACAGUGACAGAUCAUCAGGCAUUAGAUUCUCAUAAGGAAUGCACAACCUAGAUUCUUCACAUGUGCAGUUCACCAUGAGGUUCACGCUCCUAUGAGAAGCUAAUGCCUCCGCUUAAACGACACAGGAGAUGGAGCUCAGGUAGUAAUGAGUGAAAUGGGGAGCAGCUGUCAAUACAGAUGAAGCUUUGCUUGCUUGCUUGCCGCUCACCACCUGCUGUGCAGCCUGGUUCCUAACUGGUACUGGUCAGUGGCCUGUGGUUGGGAACUCCUGGUAGACUAACAACAGAACAAAGCCAAGUCUCAAGGAGAGACAGUUGUAUAGAUGCCUUCCUGCCCAUUCUCUGUUGUGGGGGCCAAAUCACACAAGACCUGCAUUUAAUUCUUUAUGGGCUUAGGCUGUGAAUUAAUGUAAAAUCUCAAGAAACCAAGAUGACAGGCCAGGGACUAAAGAGCAAAAGAAAGACCACAGCUAUGGUGGGCGAGGAGACAAAGUCAAUCCCACCGGGACAGAUGGUGAUGACCCUUAUCAGUUCUAUUCUGUCAUCUCAUAAAGGUAAAGACUUGUGUUCUUUUUCUUAGGACAGUCCAGAUGGUAUUGGCUGUGCUUAAAGAAAAUUCAGACAUGUGUGAGUGUGGCUGGAAUUGACAUUCAUGAGGUCUUCCGUUUUUAUUUGAAAGGGGCAGAGUAAGUAUUUGUGAACAUUGGAUGGUGAUGAAGAAAAGGAAAUGGUGUCUAGUAUCCUACCUGGCCUCAUGGACCAAGACUAGAAGGAUUAGAGGCAAAGUCGAAGGAAGCUGCCACCAUAAAGGGUUCUGUGAAUGCUGUUUGGCUGAAAUGUGUGACAAAGCACUGGGAAGGGUUUCAUUGCAUUAGCUCAGGCCAUAGCACGACCCUUAACCAACACCUUAAGGUGAUGGUCCCCUUGGCAUAAAUAUUGGUGUUAAAAUCGAGGUUAACCUUAGUGAUAGUAUGGUUAAGAGUCCCCUGCAUGACUUUGGAAGUUGAAGAUGCUGAUCAGGAGAACUAGAGCAGGAAAGAGAAAAUAUGACUGAGGCUAAGUGGUGACUUGGUAUUGACUGAUAGGUGAACACAGGAAUGAAUUUCAGCGAGAACCCCCAGUAACUGUCUGGGGAGUGGAGACUGUGUAUGAACAGGACAGAAAAAAAAGCAGAUUCGGGUAGUGUCCUGUCGUGUGUCUCUUUUACAGUCCUGAAAUGAAGGACUUUCAGUGUUUUCAUUGAGCACCAAUCAAUUCCCUCUUUACAAAAGACCAUAUUGGAACAGCAUCAAGGUUUAGGGAUAUUAAAGCAAUACAGUGACACUGGAAUGACCACUGAGAACCAGCGAACUUCUUCAGCCCUUAUAUCCUCAGGCACUCUGGAAGCCAUGAAUCUGGUUUUCUUGCUAAACUGUGUGUACUGCACAGAGUACAAUGGUAAAGGAACAAAUAUUGGCUCUAAAAUCUCUUGUAAAGGGAAGGGUGGUCAUCCCUUUAGAUGGCAAAUUGAGUUUCUGUAAUGGGGUUUGCUCUGAUGUUGCAUUUCCACUCAGGCAUCAAGACAUUCUGUUGUUUAAAGCCCUAGAUGGGUGAUAUUUCUUUCAUGUGCAAGGCCCGAAUGCUUCACUGAGCUCUCUCUUACCCACACACACUCAUUUAAACCUUGGUCAAAAUUAUCCUUUAGCAUCUGCAUCUUCUCAGAAGGCGGAAGGGUCAAUGGGGAUAAUCAGGAGAGAUGAGGUGCACUUUCAGAAGUUGGAGCUGAGAAGGUGAUGGAAGUAUCUGUAAAGUCGUUGAACAGCUGCACGAACUAUAGGGGAAGCAUUUCUGGAGGCAAAAGGGGAAUAGCCCUUUCCUCUUAAACCAAAGCGAGCACAGCUCCAAAGGCACUUAGAUGGAGAGUUCAUCGGAAUGUGAGCUCUAAGAGUGGCUGAGAAUCUGACAAAAACAGCCAUCUGCCAACCCAAAAUUAAAACUCCUCUGUUUAGCACCCAGUAGAGAAAGUCAACCAGAUUGACUUCGCAAACAAAGGACCUUAAAAGCAUCACCUAAGAAAGUGUGUCAGGAUCCACAGACAUCCAGAGCAUUCUCUAUGGUUCAUUACUUACAUUAUUCUUAUCUAUUUACACAUAAUGUUUAGAUGUAAAAUCCUUACAAUGAAAAGGGUGUAUAUGCUUUAAAAAAGGCACAACAGGGAUCUAGAACUAGAAAUACCAUUUGACCCAGCCAUCCCAUUACUGGGUAUAUACCCAAAUGAGUAUAAAUCAUGCUGCUAUAAAG